GAUGAACGCUGGCGGCGUGCCUAAUACAUGCAAGUAGAACGCACGGUUUAUACCGUAGCUUGCUUCACCAUAAACGGUGAGUUGCGAACGGGUGAGUAACGCGUAGGUAACCUGCCUGGGAGCGGUUGAUAACUAUGGGAAACGAUAGCUAAUACCGCAUAAUAUUGAUUAUUGCAUGAUAAUUGAUUGAAAGAUGGUAUUGCAUCACUACCAGCUGGCCCCACCGUGUAUUAGCUAGUAGGUGAGGUAACGGCGCCCCCAGGCGACGAUACAUAGCCGAACUGGGAGGGGGAUCCGCCACCAUGGGAACGAGACACGGCCCAGACUCCUAACGGAGGCAGCAGUUGGGGAUCUUCGGCAAUGGACGAAAGUCCGACCGAGGAAAGGCGGGGGGGUGAAGGAAGUUUUCCGAUCGUAAAACCCUGUUGAUAGGGAAGAAAGAGAGUGGGAGUGAAAAGUUCACACUGUGACGGUACCUAAUCAGAAAGGGACGGCUAACUACGUG
rnacentral:rRNA from 1 species